rnacentral:rRNA from 1 species
UACGUAGGGUCCAAGCGUUAAUCGGAAUUACUGGGCGUAAAGCGUGCGCAGGCGGUUGUGCAAGACCGAUGUGAAAGCCCCGAGCUUAACUUGGGAAUUGCAUUGGUGACUGCACGGCUAGAGUGUGUCAGAGGGGGGUAGAAUUCCACGUGUAGCAGUGAAAUGCGUAGAGAUGUGGAGGAAUACCGAUGGCGAAGGCAGCCCCCUGGGAUAACACUGACGCUCAUGCACGAAAGCGUGGGGAGCAAACAGGAUUAGAAACCCCCGUAGUCC